CGGGUGCACUGAUCCAGCCGGGCCUUUCCCUCUGUGGAACCCCAUGGCCUUCACUGGCUGUGGUGGGGAAACAGGACUUUUACUUUGAAAAAAUUAGAGUGCUCCAGGCAGGCCUAUGCUCGAAUACAUUAGCAUGGAAUAAAUAGAAUAGGACGUGUGGUUCUAUUUUGUUGGUUUCUAGGCCCGCCGUAAUGAUUAAUAGGGACAGUCGGGGGCAUCAGUAUUCAAUUGUCAGAGGUGAAAUUUUUGGAUCUAUUGAAGACUAACUACUGCGAAAGCAUUUGCCAAGGAUGUUUUUCAUUGAUAAGGAACGAAAGUUAGGGGAUCGAAGACGAUCAGAUACCGUCGUAGUCUUAACUAUAAACUAUGCCGACUAGGGAUCGGACGAUGUUAUUCUUUGACGCGUUCGGCACCUUUCGAGAAAUCAAAGUGCUUGGGCUCCAGGGGGAGUAUGGUCGCAAGGCUGAAACUUAAAGAAAUUGACGGAAGGGCACCACCAGGGGUGGAACCUGCGGCUUAAUUUGACUCAACACGGGGAAACUCACCAGGUCCAGACACAGUGAGGAUUGACAGAUUGAGAGCUCUUUCUUGAUUCUGUGGGUGGUGGUGCAUGGCCGUUCUUAGUUGGUGGAGUGAUUUGUCUGCUUAAUUGCGAUAACGAACGAGACCUUAACCUGCUAAAUAGCCCGUACUGCUUUGGCAGUUCGCCGGCUUCUUAGAGGGACUAUCGG
rnacentral:rRNA from 1 species